AUUGAACGCUGGCGGCAGGCUUAACACAUGCAAGUCGAGCGGGGUGAUGGUGCUUGCACUAUCACUUAGCGGCGGACGGGUGAGUAAUGCUUAGGAAUCUGCCUAUUAGUGGGGGACAACACCUCGAAAGGGAUGCUAAUACCGCAUACGUCCUACGGGAGAAAGCAGAGGAUCACUUGUGACCUUGCGCUAAUAGAUGAGCCUAAGUCGGAUUAGCUAGUUGGUGGGGUAAAGGCCUACCAAGGCGACGAUCUGUAGCGGGUCUGAGAGGAUGUUCCGCCACACUGGGACUGAGACACGGCCCAGACUCCUACGGGAGGCAGCAGUGGGGAAUAUUGGACAAUGGGGGGAACCCUGAUCCAGCCAUGCCGCGUGUGUGAAGAAGGCCUUAUGGUUGUAAAGCACUUUAAGCGAGGAGGGGGCUCUUUUGGUUAAUACCCAAGAUGAGUGGACGUUACUCGCAGAAUAAGCACCGGCUAACUCUGUGCCAGCCGCCGCCGUAA
rnacentral:rRNA from 1 species